CAUGUGUAGCGGUGAAAUGCGUAGAUAUAUGGAGGANCACCAGUGGCGAAAGCGGCUCUCUGGUCUGUCACUGACGCUGAGGCUCGAAAGCGUGGGUAGCGAACAGGAUUAGAUACCCUGGUAGUCCACGCCGUAAACGAUGAGUGCUAGGUGUUAGGCCCUUUCCGGGGCUUAGUGCCGGAGCUAACGCAAUAAGCACUCCGCCUGGGGAGUACGACCGCAAGGUUGAAACUCAAAGGAAUUGACGGGGGCCCGCACAAGCGGUGGAGCAUGUGGUUUAAUUCGAAGCAACGCGAAGAACCUUACCAGGUCUUGACAUCCCGAUGCUAUUCUUAGAGAUAGGAAGUUACUUCGGUACAUCGGAGACAGGUGGUGCAUGGUUGUCGUCAGCUCGUGUCGUGAGAUGUUGGGUUAAGUCCCGCAACGAGCGCAACCCUUAUUGUUAGUUGCCAUCAUUAAGUUGGGCACUCUAGCGAGACUGCCGGUAAUAAACCGGAGGAAGGUGGGGAUGACGUCAAAUCAUCAUGCCCCUUAUGACCUGGGCUACACACGUGCUACAAUGGUCGGUACAACGAGUUGCGAGCCGGUGACGGCAAGCUNAUCUCUGAAAGCCGAUCUCAGUUCGGAUUGGAGGCUGCAACUCGCCUCCAUGAAGUCGGAAUCGCUAGUAAUCGCGGAUCAGCACGCCGCGGUGAAUACGUUCCCGGGCCUUGUACACACCGCCCGUCACACCACGAGAGUUUGUAACACCCGAAGUCGGUGAGGUANCCUUUUAGGGGCCA
rnacentral:rRNA from 1 species